rfam:Peptococcaceae bacterium BRH_c23 BRHa_1003486, whole genome shotgun sequence.
UCUAAUCUCCGUUAGGUGAGGCUCCUGCAUAAACAUAGGCCACUGCCCAGAAAUGUCGAGAGACGCCAAUUGGGUAGAACAGGUAUUGCCGACAUAAGGUUUUACUUAAGGUGGCUGAGAAAACUCUACGCUAUGCAGUGCUAAAGCUCAACGAGUAGGGAGGUCCAA